rnacentral:tRNA from 1 species
GGCCGCGUAGCUCAGUUGGCAGAGCAUUGGGCUAGUAUUCCAAAGGUUGUAGGUUCGAUUCCCACCGUGGCCG